UCGAGACCCAUAAAGGAUUGGAUGACCCUUGAUAACCCGUGAACAUGCGGCAGCGUCAGCUGUCUAUAAGUGCCAUUCGCCCGGUGCUCCCUUCUCGAUCGGAGCGUCGAAAAAGGUGGAUGAACAAAACCAAUUGGGCGCGGCAUUGCGCCAAGGAAAACUUAAUCUAGCAUUGACGACUAUCCGCAGAAGCCCGGAGGGGUUGGCGGUGUGUUGCUGUUGCUUUUGAAAUGUUGUAUGACUCUCGGCAAUGGAUAUCUUGGCUCUUGCAUCGAUGAAGAGCGCAGCGAAAUGCGAUACGUGGUGUGAAUUGCAGAAUCCCGUGAACCAUCGAGUUUUUGAACGCAAGUUGCGCCCGAGGCCAAUUGGUUGAGGGCACGUCCGCCUGGGCGUCAAGCAUUACGUCGCUUCAUUCGGCACCACCCUCAAAUGGGGUGAUUGUGCCGGGUUGAAUGCGGAGAAUGGCCCUUCGUGCAAACGCUUGUGCGGCGGGUUGAAGCGCGGAUGGCCUUCCUCCUGGCAGAUGAGUGACAAAGGGGUGGUUGGAUGUCGCCAGUUGGCCCGCACCGUCAUAUCAUUGGCCUUGAGGAUGGCAUGCACACACAUCAAUAGUAGGUCACCCGGCGUAUCUGUCGUAGGUGACCCAUCGAAAUG
rnacentral:misc_RNA from 1 species